GACGUAGGGCGCGAGCGUUGUCCGGAUUUAUUGGGCGUAAAGAGCUCGUAGGUGGUUCGGUAAGUCGGAUGUGAAAUCUCCAGGCUCAACCUGGAGGGGUCAUUCGAUACUGCCGUGACUAGAGGUCGGUAGGGGAGUGUGGAAUUCCUGGUGGAGCGGUGAAAUGCGCAGAUAUCAGGAGGAACACCGGUGGCGAAGGCGGUGGUCUGGGCCGGAACUGACGCUGAGGUGCGAGAGCGUGGGGAGCGAACAGG
rnacentral:rRNA from 1 species